rfam:Schistosoma mattheei strain Denwood, Zambia genome assembly, scaffold: SMTD_scaffold0020138
AUCCAGCCGACGACUCCCAAAUAAGACGAAAUGCGCAUCCUGGAU